CGCGUGCUACCAUGCAGUCGAACGAACUGGUUGCACCGGAACUUUUCGGAGGGAAGGAGUGACAAGGUUAGUGGCGGACGGGUGAGUAACACGUGGGUAAUUUACCUCUCAGACAGGGAUAACACUUGGAAACGAGUGCUAAUACCUGAUGAAGUUUAUGUAAGGCAUCUUGUAUAGAUGAAAGGAGGCCUCUCGAAGAAGCUCCCGCUGAGAGAUAAGCCCGCGACUGAUUAGCUAGUUGGUAAGGUAAAGGCUUACCAAGGCGACGAUCAGUAGCCGGCCUGAGAGGGUGAACGGCCACACUGGGACUGAGACACGGCCCAGACUCCUAUGGGAGGCAGCAGUGGGGAAUAUUGCGCAAUGGGGGAAACCCUGACGCAGCAACGCCGCGUGAGUGAAGAAGGUCUUCGGAUUGUAAAGCUCUGUCAAUUGGGAAGAAGGCUUAUGGGUAAAUAGCCUAUGAGAUGACGGUACCUAAGAAGGAAGCUCCGGCUAACUACGUGCCAGCAGCCGCGGUAAUACGUAGGGAGCAAGCGUUAUCCGGAAUUACUGGGCGUAAAGGGCGUGUAGGCGGCCAAUUAAGCUAGAUGUUAAAGACCACGGCUCAACCGGGGGAAUGCAUUUAGAACUGGAUGGCUAGAGGACGAGAGAGGAAAGUGGAAUUCCUAGUGUAGCGGUGGAAUGCGUAGAUAUUAGGAGGAACACCAGUGGCGAAGGCGGCUUUCUGGCUCGUACCUGACGCUGAGGCGCGAAAGCGUGGGGAGCAAACAGGAUUAGAUACCCUGGUAGUCCACGCCGUAAACGAUGAGUACUAGGUGUAGGGGAGGAAGAACUUUCUGUGCCGCAGCAAACGCAAUAAGUACUCCGCCUGGGGAGUACGCUCGCAAGAGUGAAACUCAAAGGAAUUGACGGGGCC
rnacentral:rRNA from 1 species